rnacentral:rRNA from 1 species
UACGAGGGGGGCGAGCGUUGUUCGGAAUUAUUGGGCGUAAAGGGUGCGUAGGCGGUUUGGUAAGUCUGAUGUGAAAUCUAUGGGCUCAACUCAUAGUCUGCAUCGGAAACUGCCGGGCUUGAGUAUAGGAGAGGUUACUGGAAUUCCCGGUGUAGCGGUGAAAUGCGCAGAUAUCGGGAGGAACACCAAUGGCGAAAGCAGGUAACUGGACUAUUACUGACACUAAACUGCGAAAGCUAGGGGAGCAAACAGG